rnacentral:rRNA from 1 species
CCUACGGGGUGCAGCAGUGGGGAAUAUUGGACAAUGGGCGAAAGCCUGAUCCAGCCAUGCCGCGUGUGUGAAGAAGGCCUUCGGGUUGUAAAGCACUUUCAGUGGGGAAGAAAGCCUUGGGGCUAAUACCCUCGAGGAAGGACAUCACCCACAGAAGAAGCACCGGCUAACUCCGUGCCAGCAGCCGCGGUAAUACGGAGGGUGCGAGAGUUAAUCGGAAUUACUGGGCGUAAAGCGCGCGUAGGCGGUCUGAUAAGCCGGUUGUGAAAGCCCCGGGCUCAACCUGGGAACGGCAUCCGGAACUGUCAGGCUAGAGUGCAGGAGAGGAAGGUAGAAUUCCCGGUGUAGCGGUGAAAUGCGUAGAGAUCGGGAGGAAUACCAGUGGCGAAGGCGGCCUUCUGGACUGACACUGACGCUGAGGUGCGAAAGCGUGGGUAGCAAACAGGAUUAGAUACCCUGGUAGUC